UACGUAGGGGGCGAGCGUUGUCCGGAAUCACUGGGCGUAAAGGGCGCGUAGGCGGCUGGGGAAGUCGGCGGUGAAAGCCCGGAGCUCAACUCCGGGUCGGCCGUCGAGACUCCUCGGCUCGAGCUCACUAGAGGCAGAUGGAAUUCCGGGUGUAGCGGUGGAAUGCGUAGAGAUCCGGAAGAACACCGGUGGCGAAGGCGGUCUGCUGGGGUGAGGCUGACGCUGAGGCGCGACAGCGUGGGGAGCAAACAGG
rnacentral:rRNA from 1 species